rnacentral:misc_RNA from 1 species
GUAAAACCAUCCGUAGCCCAAAGCCAAGGGAGGGGAAGAGGAAAUACGGCCCCACCAACACAACAACAGGUACGAGGCAGAGCAAGAGGUGGUGCCACGGUCAGAUCACAAACGGACAGACUGGCAACGAGACACACACAGACAGGUAUGAACCAAGAGCAGGAACAGCUGGAAGAUGGGGCCACAGGUCGACGGCCCGGGGCAGAGCCCGCGGGCCUGGGCCAAAGGAUGAGUCACCAGGGGGCUUUCACUAUGAUCACACCAAAUGAAAGGAGAAGGCAAGAGAUUUCAGAACAAGCUAGGCGGGAAGAAGAGAACUACCAAAGACACAAGGAAAACAACAGACUUGGUUAUGUGAACUACGUAGGAACAGCUGGAGGGGGGCAGAAAACUCAGACUGAGGCUCGAAAUGAACAGGCUCGAACUCACCAGUCCUCAAAGUAUGAAAGUAUACAGAAGAGGCAAGCGGCUAGAGAGGCACCAAAGAAAAGGGAAGAAGAGGAGAUUUUAAAGAAAAAGAUGGAGCAGCGGCUGAAAUCCGAGCAAAACAAGCAGUUAGAGUCUGAAAGACAGAGGAAGCUACAAGAGGAUCAUCGCUCCAAAAAUGAAGCUUUUCUAAGGAGAAUUGAAAAUGAGCAAAAAUUAAAAACCAGAUCUAAGCAGCCACCUGCAGUCAGCAAUCCUGUCGUGCAAUCAGACAGAAAUGAAGCAGCAUCCUCCUCUCAGGACCUUGGAGAUCCGUUGGGUGAGCUUCAGCGAAUGUUUCCGAUGUAUGAUCAGGACUCUCUAAGGGACAUUCUGACACAGACUGGCUCUGUGGAGGCUGCUAUUGGUAUACUGUCCCUAGACUGAUAGACACUCAACACUUAUAAUGGUCUUGAGAGUCUGUCCCAAGUUUUCCUAGACCCAAAAUAUUUGGUAUUUAAGAUGUUUCAGUAUUUGCCCUAGUUAGUAACCUUGCACUUUGGCUGAUUUCAAUUAUGUUGAUGGAUGUAUGAAGGAAAUUGUUUCCUUUUUUAGUAUUUUUUUUUUUCGCAUAAAAGCGAAAUCUUCCUUAUAUUAAUAAGUACUGAAGUACUUUUUAUAAUUUGUGAUGGUAUGGUUUAUAAAUUGAUCUUAACAAUGUUCAGGUUCAAAUAGAUUGUGUGAGGUUCGGAACUGAUCGUGUUCAGGCAUGUAGCACAGGGGGGUGCCCCCAACUUUUCUUUUGCAGCAGACAUUUCCAUAAAUAUAAACUUGAAUUAUAAAGGAGUCAGGCCCCCACACAUUUUUGGGGAGCAUAUAAGAGAUGGAAGAGAAAACAAGGAAAUUAAAAAAUUGAAGGUAAAGGAGCUAUGCACCUGUCUCCCCACCCCUUUAAAAAAAAUAAUAAUGCUAUGUGCCUGAACUUAUUUUAUGAACAUUUCCAUGAUUACAUGGAACACUAAGAUUUUACCUGAUGAUAAAAUCCAAAAGUAGAAUUAAUUUGGUUAAGGAAACUGAGUUUUAAAAUUGCCACUUUUUCACAUUAAUAUGGUGAAAUGGAUAUAAUGCCUAUGUAAUUCAUGUUCUUGAUUAUAUAUUAUAAUUAAUUGAAACGAAGUAUGUAUACCAGUAUGUCAUGUCCAUAGGGAAAUGUGUAUAGACUCCAAUGCAUGUUUUUUUUUAUUCAUUCUAUUUACUAUGCCACUUCAUCUGUGACAUGGUUGAACUGCAAGAAACAGAAAAUUAGAUGGAUUAAGAGACAAAAUAUUCUUUUGGUCAUCCUUCCUGGAUUGUUCACUUGUAUAUUGUAUAAACUUACCAAAUACAUGUACUACUGGCACUUGUUCGUGUGAUGAGAUUCACCGGUAGUAUAAUGAUAAUUAACAUUUAUUCAUGUGCAGAAACAUGCGCCUGUGACAUACCAGUUAUGGUGCAUAUUUGUUUGUUUUACUGUUAUAAAGAUUGUGUUCAUGUUUUUUGUUUUGUUAAAAAUAUUUUUAAGGAGUUCAAAUAAUUUUAGGUCUAUAUCUCAUGUGUAUAUAAUCAUACAAGCCUCAGAAGUCUCAUUGUUAACAUGAUGACCCUGUUAGCAUUAGGGACCAAUGAAGCAUUCAUCCAUUUGUGCCGAAAUCUGUGAUACGUUACAUUUAUUUUUAUGCUUAUCAUCAUAAUACUUUUAAAGUACAUUUAGUUGGUUAUAUAUAAUAAAAGAAUUUAAAAAUC